GAUGAAGAACGUAGCGAAAUGCGAUCAGUAAUGUGAAUUGCAGAAUUCAGUGAAUCAUCGAAUCUUUGAACGCACAUUGCGCCCUCUGGUAUUCCGGGGGGCAUGCCUGUUCGAGCGUCAUUAUAACCACUCAAGCUCUCGCUUGGUAUUGGGGUUCGCGGUUUCGCGGCCCCUAAAAUCAGUGGCGGUGCCUGUCGGCUCUACGCGUAGUAAUACUUCUCGCGAUUGAGUUCGAUAGGUCUACUUGCCAGUAACCCCCAAUUUUUACAGGUUGACCUCGGAUCAGGUAGGGAUACCCGCUGAACUUAAGCAUAUCAAUAAGCGGAGGA
rnacentral:misc_RNA from 1 species